GUGGGGAAUCUUCCGCAAUGGACGAAAGUCUGACGGAGCGACGCCGCGUGAGUGAAGAAGGCCUUCGGGUCGUAAAGCUCUGUCAUCAGGGACGAACGGCCGGUGGAGUGGAAAGCCACCGGAUUGACGGUACCUGAGAAGGAAGCCACGGCUAACUACGUGCCAGCAGCCGCGGUAAUACGUAGGUGGCAAGCGUUGUCCGGAAUUAUUGGGCGUAAAGCGCGCGCAGGUGGGAUCUUAAGUCCAUUUUUAAAGUUCGGAGCUCAACUCCGUGAUGGGAUGGAAACUGGGAUUCUUGAGUACCGGAGAGGAAAGCGGAAUUCCCCGUGUAGCGGUGAAAUGCGUAGAUAUGGGGAGGAACACCAGUGGCGAAGGCGGCUUUCUGGACGGUGUCUGACACUGAGGCGCGAAAGCCAGGGGAGCGAACGGGAUUAGAUACCCUUGUAGUCC
rnacentral:rRNA from 1 species